GGUAAAAUGGCUGAGAAUAUUAGGCAAUAAACUGUAAAUUUAUUUAGGAAAUUUAUAUUUCUUUUACCA
rnacentral:tRNA from 1 species